CCAGGUUGUAAAGUAAAGUAAAGAAAGGGAAGAAAAGAAGUUUUUUUUCCUAUUAUUUUCCAUAACUCUAAAGAACACCCAUGAUAGCAGAAGGAAAACAAAGUGAUUGAUUAGAAGGUUUGUACUUAAAAUUCUCGAGCCUCAGGAUAGACAAUGUAAGUUAAAUGUUUUCUCUUUCCCCAGUUCUGCUUCAGCCAGCCUCUCAUCAGAUGACUUCUGACAUCUGCCAUUUGACAAAAACCUUCCGAUAGCUUUGCUUACUGGCUCCAGUAAAUUUAUCGCCCAAGGAAACUUUUACCUUACAAAUAGAGAUACUCUUCCCUCAAGAUCCGUCAGCCUUCUUCCUCUGCACAUUCUCCUCCUGAUGACUGCAAAAGGGAUUCAGAUUCACUAGAAGAUUUUGGGCAAAGGUUAACUGCUGAAAUGAGCAGUGGAAAACUGCAUCUCUGUGAAGUUAAGCUCUUUAAAAUAUGCAUCAGUGUUCCAAACAGCAAGCUAAUUUUCGAGUUCAUCAAAUGUGUAUUUAUAUGGUGAGUGUAUCCGUCACAUAAACAUUUUGUCAAUCA
rnacentral:lncRNA from 1 species